rnacentral:lncRNA from 1 species
UAUUAAGGGAAGAACAGCUGGAAUCAUCUCCCGUGGAAAGAUCUGGCUGACAAUGGUUAACGCCAUGCUCACCUCUACUAGAUUAGUGCUCUGUAAGUCCUCCAAACCUCCAAAAACACUGUACCUUCACAACUGUGUUCACAAGCAGAAGUAGCAGUUCAUGAUUUUCAUGGAGAAAUAAAGAGACUGCCAAGUAACCAACUCUUUUCUCCAAAAGAUUCCCUUGCUGUGCAAGCUUGAUUGCAUGGAUAUAUCCAAAGGAAGAUUCAUAUCCCAG